rnacentral:rRNA from 1 species
UUUACAAGAUCGUGUCCACCAGUUGGAUAACUGUGGUAAUUCUAGAGCUAAUACAUGUUGCAAUGCUCCUACCUUAAGGGGACGAGCGCCUUUAUUAGAUCAAAACCAAUCGGUUGCUUGCAACUGUUUGUUUGGUGACUCUGGAUAACUUUCGCGAAUCGCACGGACCUGCUCCGGCGAUGUAUCUUUCAAAUGUCUGCCCUAUCAACUUGCGUAGGCCGUUAACUUGACCGCCUUGGUUGUUACGGGUAACGGGGAAUCAGGGUUCGAUUCCGGAGAGGGAGCAUGAGAAACGGCUGCCACAUCCAAGGAAGGCAGCAGGCGCGCAAAUUACCCACUCCUGGCACAGUGAGGUAGUGACGAAAAAUAACGAUGCGGGUUCUCUUCGAGGCCCCGCAAUCGGAAUGAGUACACUUUAAAUCCUUUAACGAGGAUCAAUUGGAGGGCAAGUCUGGUGCCAGCAGCCGCGGUAAUUCCAGCUCCAAUAGCGUAUAUUAAAGUUGUUGCAGUUAAAAAGCUCGUAGUUGGAUCUGGGGUGUGGGCGAACGGUGCACUACUUUGUGUUUACUGUUCGUUCCUGCCUAAAUGUCGGACGGCUCUGGAUGCGCUUAGUUGAGUGUCCAAGGGUUGGCCGGAACGUUUACUUUGAAGAAAUUAGAGUGUUCAAGGCAGUCGAAACGACUGAAUAAUGGUGCAUGGAAUAAUGGAAUAGGACCUUGGUUCUAUUUUGUUGGUUUUCGGAGCUCGAGGUAAUGAUUAAGAGAGACAGACGGGGGCAUUCGUAUUGUGCCGUUAGAGGUGAAAUUCUUGGAUCGGCGCAAGACGAACAACCGCGAAAGCAUUUGCCAAGAAUGUCUUCAUUAAUCAAGAACGAAAGUCAGAGGUUCGAAGGCGAUCAGAUACCGCCCUAGUUCUGACCAUAAACGAUGCCAACUAGCGAUCCGUCGCGGUUUUUACAAUGACCUGACGGGCAGCUUCCGGGAAACCAAAGUCUUUGGGUUCCGGGGGAAGUAUGGUUGCAAAGCUGAAACUUAAAGGAAUUGACGGAAGGGCACCACCAGGAGUGGAGCCUGCGGCUUAAUUUGACUCAACACGGGAAAACUCACCCGGCCUGGACACUGCAAGGAUUGACAGAUUGAUAGCUCUUUCU